UGUCAGGACAAACGCUUUAAGUCAGCUAGGGUCCAGCUCAGGGCCUGUCCAGGAUCCACCUCGGGAGGCAUAACACCGCACCCUGCGCCUCCCCACGUCAUUGCUGCCUGCAGGUCAGCCACCCGGGACCAGGUGGGGUGGCUGGGGUCCCUUCCCCAACGUGGGAGCAGGUGUCACUCGCCCGCUGAGGUGAGAGGCAGCAGCUGCCCCCUCAGUGCCAGUGGCCCUUCAGGGAUCUGCCGCCACUGCUGCCCCCUCAGCACCGGUGGCCCUCAGGGACCGGCCACCACAGCUGCCCCCUCAGCGCCGGUGGCCCUCAGGGACCGGCCGCCACAGCUGCCCCCUCAGCGCCGGUGGCCCUCAGGGACCGGCCGCCACAGCUGCCCCCUCAGCGCCGGUGGCCCUCAGGGACCGGCCGCCACAGCUGCCCCCUCAGCGCCGGUGGCCCUCAGGGACCGGCCGCCACAGCUGCCCCCUCAGCGCCGGUGGCCCUCAGGGACCGGCCGCCACCGCUGCCCCCUCAGCGCCGGUGGCCCUCAGGGACCGGCCGCCACCGCUGCCCCCUCAGCGCCGGUGGCCCUCAGGGACCGGCCGCCACCGCUGCCCCCUCAGCACCGGUGGCCCUCAGGGACCGGCCGCCACCGCUGCCCCCACCUGCCAAGGGGUGAAGGCGAGGGAUCGGCCGCCUCCUCAGCCUGGUGGCAGCUGUUAGGGAGUGGCUGCCGCCGCGAUGCUGCUGCCCCCGCCCGCCCAGGCCGCCCCCUCAGCACCCGCGGUCCCGCGCAGCUGCCACUAGGGCACAGCCCUGCCCGCCCCGCCGCUGCCGGCGCCCCGCCGCCCUUACCGGCGAAGUUCUUGGUGAAGACGAGGGUGACGAGGAGGAUGGGGAUGAGGACGGUGCCGAUGGUGACCACGCGGUCGAAGGGCAGCUCCAGCUUCAGCUGGAGGAGCAGAGCCGCCAGCGCGCCCGCCUUGUCAUCCUGCUGGCCCGGCAGGAUGAGCUCCUUCAGCUUCUCGCCCGCCAGCAGCGCGGUGGCCAUGUCGGGGUGGUUAUCGAUGAUGUGUUGCAUAAGCGGCGGCGGCGGGCGGCCUCACGCCGCCGGGCCUCCCCGGGGACGGGCGGCGCGCUGCGGCGGGCUGGCUGCGGGCGGCGCCCGCGCGGCCUGCGGGGACAACACCGACAGCGGUAACGGCGGGGCCGCGGCCGCGCUCCUCUGCCGCAGCGGCACCAUGUUAGGGCCGGCGGGACCCUGCCCCCGCCGGGCCUGCCGCUACCCCCGGCCUCCCGCCGGGCCCGGAGCGCGGCGCCCCCGCCGACAGCCCCGCGGGGGCUCUCCCCCGCCCGCCCCCCGCAGCGCCGGGGGGAGCGGUGCGAGCGGGCCGGGAUAA
rnacentral:lncRNA from 1 species